AUGGCAAAUACAACCAAAUACGCGAUGGGACAUGACAACGCUGAUGGUUCAGGUUUUCUCUCUUUUCUCGUUAAACAAUAGAUCUAGGUUUUCUGAGUUUACAGUUUUUCUAUUAGUAGGCCCUUUCCUCUUAAUCUCUUAAACCCUAAAACUUCCAGGAAUGCAAGAAUUGAUGCUGCGUAAGCUAAGAGGAGAAUAGAAAGUUCGGUAGAACACAUAUUUGAAGAUGUUUUGGGCGUUAGGGUCAGAUUUUGAACGACAACAAUGGUUUUCUUCUUCCUCCACUCAUCUUCCUUUAUAUUUCUAUGAUUUUCAUCUGGUAUUUCUCAAAAUCUGUAGGUUUUGUUUUUGGAUUUAAUAUUCUUAGAUCACUAGCUAUCUAUCAAAAGUUUAGGGAUUUUUUGGUUUUACAUUAUGAUUCUUACUGUUCUUCAUGUUGUUUGCUUAC
rnacentral:lncRNA from 1 species